AUACUUACCUGGCAGGAGAGAUCCCACGGUCACAAAGGUGGUUUUCCCAGCGCGAGGCUUAUUCGUUACACAAAGGGGAUGGUGACCUCUGUGUUUCCCCAACUGUGUGAAACUCAACUGCAUAAUUUGUGGUGGAGGACUGUGUUCACACAUAA
ensembl:snRNA U1 U1 spliceosomal RNA